rnacentral:rRNA from 1 species
UACGUAGGUCCCGAGCGUUGUCCGAAUUUAUUGGGCGUAAAGCGAGCGCAGGUGGUUUAUUAAGUCUGGUGUAAAAGGCAGUGGCUCAACCAUUGUAUGCAUUGGAAACUGGUAGACUUGAGUGCAGGAGAGGAGAAUGGAAUUCCAUGUGUAGCGGUGAAAUGCGUAGAUAUAUGGAGGAACACCGGUGGCGAAAGCGGCUCUCUGGCCUGUAACUGAUACUGAGGCUCGAAAGCGUGGGGAGCAAACAGG